rnacentral:rRNA from 1 species
UACGAAGGGGGCUAGCGGUGCUCGGAAUCACUGGGCGUAAAGCGCACGUAGGCGGCUUUUUAAGUCAGGGGUGAAAUCCUGGAGCUCAACUCCAGAACUGCCUUUGAUACUGAGAAGCUCGAGUCCGGGAGAGGUGAGUGGAACUGCGAGUGUAGAGGUGAAAUUCGUAGAUAUUCGCAAGAACACCAGUGGCGAAGGCGGCUCACUGGCCCGGUACUGACGCUGAGGUGCGAAAGCGUGGGGAGCAAACAGG